AUGAACGGAGCGUUCAUAUCAACUCCGACACGAGUCGUAAAACGUGUAUUGAUAUAAUCAUAUUGUUGAGCCUUAAGGGCCAACGAAAUAGAGGGCAAUUACCCUCUCAACAUAAUCUUCGGUAGAAGACUCAGUUGCCAACCGCAACCACCGUCCCCCGCUACAAGAGCGGGCCACGGGAACCCGAUCGCUGCCGCCGGAGCCAACGCAACGCAUACCGCAGCUCGGACCAAAAAACGCCAUAAAGUUAAUUGGCGCCCAACGGGAUUUAGGAUCCACGUCCCCAAGAAAAAUAACAUGUAAGUGACUGUUCGGAAAAAAUAAAGCUUGUGAGAGAAUUUUGAUCUCCCCUUCGCUGAUCGUUUAUGAGUUGGGACUACAGAAACAAGGUCGAAUACGACAGCGACGAGAGCCUAGACUUAUUGUACCAGCCACCAGUCAGAACAGUGCAGAAUCAAUUUAAAAUGGACCCAGCCAUGAUAAAAGCGUUAGUAGAAGGCGCAAUCAACACAGCCCUCGUCGAACAGGAACGACGACUGAGUGCAGAAUUUAGCAGGGAACUCGAAAAAGUUAGAAAUAGUGUGAGCGCUCUAACUGUAGGUGUCCCUCAGGUGGAAACUUAUAAGAGAGUGACCAUUGACCCUAGUAUAAAAUGUGAAAUGAAACUAGAUAUCAUAAAAUCAGUACCAACUUUCAACGGGAAUCAUGAGGAAUAUGUGUCUUGGAGACAAUCUGCUCUAGAUGCAUACGAAGUUUUCAAAAACUACUCUGGUAGUCAGACACACUACGAGGCUGUGGCCAUCAUAAAAAAUAAAAUCUGUGGAACAGCUCGAGCAUUGCUCACAUCGCACAACACGGUGCUCAAUUUUGAUGCAAUCAUAGCUAGACUCGAUUGCACAUAUGCGGACAAAACAUCGUAGGGAUGUAUUACGUCAACACUUGGAAAUGGUUAGGCAGGGUGAAACCGAUCUAAUGGAAUAUUAUGACGAAGUCGAGAGAAAGCUCACGCUCGUCACUAACAAAGACUCAUGACUCAUAAUGAGGAGGCAGCUACCAUUCUCAACGAGGAAAUUAGGAAUGAUGCUUUACACGCAUUCAUAGCGGGCCUCAAGAGGCCGCUAAAAUUGUUCGUUCUCCCGGCACAGCCCAAGGAUUUUCCAUCCGCCUUAGCUCUAGCUCGCGAGGCCGAAAAUAGCAUUGAGAGAAGCGCAUUUGCCGCUACGUAUGCAAAGGUGAUCGAGGAUAAAAACCAUUCAGGCGACGGCAAUAGACAGGGUCAUCGGGCCCAGGCCAGACAAGGUAGAGGUCAGGAAAAGAACCCACAUUUUGUGGGAAAAAGUAAUCAAAAUAGGCAGCAACAGGGUGAUCCUUGGCCAAAGCCAAACGAUAAAGAGGCCCCACAACAAAACCAAGUGCAGCCUAUGGAAGUUGACCCAUCGAUGUCUAGGUUUAGGCAACAGACCAAUUGGGGGAAACCACAGAGCGACGUCACACAGGGCGAAGCUCAGAAAAGGCGGAACACGUCAGAUCGUAUAUCUGGGCAAAGACGCCAAGGGAUAAAUAAUAUAAUACAGCAGGCCCCUAACCAAGGGGAACAAGAAUAUGCAAACUUAGCCGAGGCCGCGGUUGCGGAAAUUGACGAAGAAAGUGAUUCGGCUAGCGGCAACGACCUGUUCAAUUUUUUUAGUGAGCGCUCCCAAUUGCCGUUCGUCGAGCGACAGUUGGCUGGCAAAACACUAAAAAUUUUAAUCGACACUGGUGCGGCUAAAAAUUACGUAAAGCCCAUAAAGGAGCUGAAAAACGUAACUUCGGUCGACGCCCCCUUCACCGUGAGCUCGAUACAUGGCUCCAGUGAAAUAAAAAACAAGUGCCUAAUGAAUAUUUUCGGGCAAAACGCCCCAUUUUUUUUGUUAGACACUCUAGCUACGUUCGAUGCCAUUAUAGGUUCCGAUUUGCUAACGCGAGCGGGAGCGGCAUUGAACCUGCGCAGCGGAACAAUCAGAUACGGAAACGCAACUGAACAACUUAGGUUCCACAACUGUGACAAAGUAAAUUUCACCAAAGUCGAUGACCUGGUGGUCCCAGGCUCGGUAAAAUCCGAGUUCAAAAAGAUGAUACUGAAGAGAAUCCAAGUUUUUUCGACCUCUAACGAGGCGCUGCCCUUUAGCACCUCAGUCGUCGCUACCAUCCGAACUGAGAAUGACGAGCCAGUCUACUCCAAAUUAUACCCCUACCCUAUGGGAGCAGCAGACUUCGUAAACAAAGAAGUCAAGAACUCUUGAAGGACGGCAUAAUCAGGCCAUCUAGGUCGCCAUACAACAGCCCAAUUUGGGUUGUAGACAAAAAGAAAUCUGACGUCAAAGGCAACAGGAAAAAGCGGCUGGUAAUCGACUUCAGAAAACUGAACGAGCGAACAAUUGCCGAUCGAUACCCUAUGCCGAGCAUACCCAUGAUUCUAGCGAACUUGGGAAAGGCAAGAUUUUUUACUACCCUAGAUCUAAAAUCAGGGUACCACCAGAUAUACAUGGCGGAAAAAGACCGUGAAAAAACUUCGUUUUCAAUUAACGGAGGGAAAUACGAGUUUUGCCGGUUACCCUUUGGACUAAAGAAUGCUGGGAGCAUUUUCCAAAGGGCAAUCGACGAUGUUCUACGAGAACAAAUUGGGAAAAUAUGUUAUGUCUAUGUAGAUGAUGUAAUAAUUUUUUCCGAAAACGAAAAUGAUCACGUUAAACACAUCGACACAGCGCUUAAACGCCUCUGCGAUGCAAACAUGAGAGUGGCCCCAGAAAAGACAAAGUUCUUUAAAGAAAGCGUAGAGUUCUUAGGCUUCAUAGUUACCAGGGGAGGAGCCGAGACCGACCCAGAAAAAGUAAGGGCAAUAAGGGAAUACACUGAACCCAAAACACUGUUCAGCCUCAGGUCCUUCCUCGGGCUGGCCAGCUAUUACAGGAGCACAAUCUAAGGGCCAUCCAAGAACUUAGAAGCGACAUGACAUCCGGUGGGUCACCCAAGACCUGCUUCAUUGCAGGAGUGGCGGCCAGCCUCAAGCUCUGUGGCCUUAUCCUGUUGCAUCAAUGCUGGAGUCGAAGGAACUCCUCAAUCAAGUUGCAAAAGGUCAUCAGAGAGAUAGGUAUCGCCGAGGACGGAGAUGAUUUAAGGGGGGAGUAGUUAACACAUAAGCAAUAACAUGGGACACCCUAACUUAGCGCACAAGAAAUGUGAAAUAUCAUGUGCCGCCCUAACUUAUCCAGUCCGAUACGGAGGGCGCCGAUGCAGUAGAUGCCGUUGCAGCGGAUCUUACAUUUUUCAACAGCUCCCCAAUCGAUGUACUGAUUGGGGCCGAUAUCCUACCAUCCGUAGUGUUAAGCGGCGUCCAGCCCAUCAAAUGCAGCUCUCUAUUCGGCCAAGAAACCAUUUUCGGUUGGGUGCUCACAGGUCCCGUGUCCAAUACGGCGACCCAGCGACUUGUAUCUUUUUUAAGUCAAAUUUCCAGAGACAAUUCCAAUGUCCUAAAUGUGACCAUACUCCGUUCCGUUAAGCAAAUUACUAAUGCUUCUUCGACUUCUUCAUCUCGUCCUAGCCUUCCGCAUGCAUACAUGGCGUCUCGGUCGCAAGUCGACCGCACCACUCAGAGCAGACGUUCCUGAGAUACUAAGUCCUACCAAUGCCGAGUCUGCUCUGAAUUCCAUCCUCUACGGAAGUGUCGCCGAUUUCUCCGCCUAAGGACCGAAGAUAGGCUCCGAGCUGUCCGAAACUUCAGCUACCGCACCAAUCCGGCUGGCUCACCAGCACUCCGGACAGGAUUGCCGAUGCGGCGACCGGUGUAAGGUGUGUGACCUGAGGCACCACACGUUGCUGCACAUGGACGGUGCGCAACUGCCGCCCUCUUCUCGACGUCCAGCCCCGCACCACUUCUAGUGCCAUCUGCAGCUUCUGCGUCGCAGGCCGGACACCGCCUUCGAGAACCAGUAUCUCCUUUUGCUGUACUGCAAGGGGGGGGGGGGGGGGAGGAUGGUGAAAGUAGCAGAAGCGAGUUAGCAGCGCCCGCGCCGUUUCGAGUGCACAAUAAACCACCAUUAUAUCGAAUAUACUGUGCCUCUUCAUUUCGGGACACUUGGACUUUCCGAGGAGUUUAUCUGCAGCGUCAGGAAGCCGUCCUACUACGAACACUUUCUAAAACAAAUACCUCUGUGGGAUACAUCAAGAGUACAGAUGGUACAAGAUCGUGCGGAUUAAGUGUAAAUGCCUCAAAAUCGGAACUUGUACUAUUUACUAACAAGUACAAAGCCCCGCCACUUAACCCCCCAACAUUAAAAAAAUGUAGGUUAACCUUUAGCGGCAGUGCCAGUGACCUU
rnacentral:lncRNA from 1 species